rnacentral:rRNA from 1 species
GACGAACGCUGGCGGCGUGCUUAACACAUGCAAGUCGAACGGAAAGGCCCCGUUCUUGGUACUCGAGCGUCAAACGCGGGAGUAACACGAAAGUAACCAGCCCUUGCCUUCGAGAUUACUACAAGUAACGGAAACUAAUACCAAAUAGGAAUCAUAUCUUCAUGCGGGGGGUUGGAUAGCGACGGGCGGUUUGGAUGGACUCGUUGGUUAUCUGCUUGUUGGUUGGGUUGUGGCUUACCAAGGCGUUGUCGGGUAGCCGGCCUGGGAGGGCGACCGGCCAUAUUGGGACUGAGAUGCGGCCCAGACUGCUACGGGAGGGAGAAGUGGGGAAUAUUGCCGGAUGGGCGGAAGCCUGGUGCAGCAACGCCGCGUGCCGGAUGACGGCCUUCGGGUUGUAAACCGAUUUCAGAAGGGGCGAAGCUUGUGGUGACGGUACCUGCAGAAGAAGCACCGGCUAACUACGUG